UCCAAGCAAGCUGUCACACCUACAGAAUCACCAUUUGUUUUCUUAACAAAGCUUCAGGGGGCGCCAGGCUCUCAUUGAAAUUUCAUUAAUCUAAUGGAGUAAAGUCCUAUAGAAAAAAAUCAAAUUCUCGUUGGACGAGAUGCUACCUGGGAAAGAUAACCUCUGUUUGAACUCUCAGACUCGGAUCGCUCUGCUAUUAGUCUGAGGAAACAGACAGCAACAACGCUGAUUACAGCCACCGGCCUCAACAAUUUUUUUUUCUAACUAGCAAUUUCGAGUGCAAGUGCCACAGUGUCAGCUAAAGAAACACAACUGUGGGUUUUCUGCAGAGCGAAAUGGUUCUGAAAUGUCACUGAAUAGCUCACAAAGGACGCCAAUCUACGACAACAGAGACAUAAGCAUAUAGGAGAAAGGGCCCACACAUCCUCCCUUCAAAGGUCACAUAAAGCUUACUGCAGGUCAGGAAAUGUCUUCUGUCUCCAAAGCAUCUGACAGGAGUUUGGAAAGAAAAAAAACCACAGAAGAGAAGUAAUUUAGCAUGCGAUGCAUACUUUACAGAUGGAUCCUACCUUCGGAUGCUUAUUAAAUCUAUGCAUGAUUGCGCUGGAGAAAAUUAAU